CGAGCGGAGGGAAGGAGGCGGGCACCAUGGCCGUGGCCGGAGGGCCGCAGGUUGUGGGGAGCGGUGUGUGUGCUGCCUCGUACUCUAACGUCUCCGCCGGAUUUCCUCCGCACCUGCAGGCCGGCGCGAUGCGGCGCCGCUUCUGGGGAAUAUUCAACUGCCUGUGCGCUGGAGCGUUCGGGGCUCUGGCCGCCGCCUCUGCCAAGCUGGCCUUCGGCAGCGAGGUGAACGUGGCUUUCUGCAUCUUAGGCAUUAUUAUGAUGGCUACCACCAAUUCUCUGAUGUGGACAUUCUUUAGCCGGGGCCUCAGUUUCUCCAUGUCUUCAGCCAUUGCAUCUGUCACGGUGACGUUUUCAAAUAUCCUCAGCUCGCAUAUGGAGUUUCCAGGCCAGGGAUCAGAUACUACACUACAGCUGUGGCAAUGGAUCCUUUAACCCACUGUGCCGGGCCGGGGAUUGAACCUGCAUCCUGGCACUGCCAAGACGCCACUAAUUCCAUUGUACCACAGCAGGAACUCCAGGAUGUAGAAGUUCUGGAGCCAGGAAUCAAUUCUGCACCACAGCUGCAGUCUGAUCCAUAGCAGUAACAAUGCUGGGUCCUUAACCCACUGUGCCACCAAGGAACUCCCUAUUCAUUCCUUUUUUGCUUGUACAUUUGGUGUCUUAUUACAGAAUCCGUAGCCAGUCAGAAUAUGACCCCAGAUGAUGCAGGGCCUCUUGUAGAUUGUUGAAAGGACUUUGACUUUGACUCUGAGUGAGAAUGCAGAAGAGAGUGCUGGUCAGCUUUACCUUAAAAGGGAGUCCACACUACAGCGGGCAGGGGCAGAAGCAGAAAGACCUGUCAGGGAGUUCCCACUCUGGCACAAUGUCAUCAACGUCAUCGCAGGAUUGCUUGAUCCCUAGCCCAGCACAGUAGGUUAAGGAUCCAGUAUUGUCGCAGCUGUGGCUUAGGUCACAACUGCGGCUCAGAUCUGAUCCCUGACCUGGGAACUCCAUGUGCCUCAGGGAGGCCAAAAAAGGGGGGGAAAAAAAGCUAGAAAAGAAAGACCUGUUAGAAGCCACUGCCACUGUGCAGAUGAGGAAGAGGAGGAGGAGCCUUUACUGGCAAACUAGCAGUAGGGUGAAAAGAAGUUAUCAGACUCAGAGUUCCUUGGUAGCAGAAUCAGUUAAGGAUCUGGUGCUGUGGUUCUUGUCACAUCAGUGACACAAGUUCGAUCCUUGCCCCAGAAGCUUCCAUGUGCUGCUGGUGUGCCAAAAAAAAAAAGGAGAAGAGAUCAGACACUAAUGCCUUUGGAAGUCAGAGCCAGUGGAGUUUGCUGAUGAGUUAGAUAUGUGUGUGAGAAAGAUCAGUGAUGCUUUCGUGGUUUUGGCCCUGCUGUGUGCCAGGUGCUGGUGGCACUGGAUUCGUUGCACAGAGUCCUUCCCCCACACGUUAUCUCAGUUAAAAAAUAGCUCACUUAUUCACUUCUGCAUUCAUUCAUCUGCUGAACACCGACUAUGUGCCAGGCUAUGGGACACAGAAAUGAGAAGAUUCCAUCUCUGGCUAUGAAGUCAAGGUCCCCUCAAUGAAAUGUGAGUUUUGGAGUUCCCGUUGUGGCUCAUCCAGUUAAGAACCUGACCAGUAUCUGUGAGGAUGCCAUUUCCAUCCCUGGCCUUGCUCAGUGGGUAAAG